UACAGAGGGUGCAAGCGUUAAUCGGAAUUACUGGGGCGUAAAGCGUGCGUAGACGGUUACAUAAGUCGGGUGUGAAAGCCCCGGGCUCAACCCUGGGAAUUGCAUUCGAGACUGCGUAGCUAGGGUGCGGAAGAGGGAAGCGGAAUUUCCGGUGUAGCGGUGAAAUGCGUAGAUAUCGGAAGGAACACCAGUGGCGAAAGCGGCUUCCUGGUCCAGCACCGACGUUCAGGCACGAAAGCGUGGGGAGCAAACAGG
rnacentral:rRNA from 1 species